AUACGGGAGGCAGCAGUGGGGAAUAUUGCGCAAUGGGGGAAACCCUGACGCAGCAACGCCGCGUGAGCGAUGAAGGCCUUCGGGUCGUAAAGCUCUGUCUUUUGGGACGAUAAUGACGGUACCAAAGGAGGAAGCCACGGCUAACUACGUGCCAGCAGCCGCGGUAAUACGUAGGUGGCGAGCGUUGUCCGGAAUUACUGGGCGUAAAGGGUGCGUAGGCGGAAUAUUAAGUCAGAUGUGAAACUCCAGGGCUCAACUCUGGAACUGCAUUUGAAACUGAUAUUCUAGAGUGCAGGAGAGGAAAGCGGAAUUCCUAGUGUAGCGGUGAAAUGCGUAGAUAUUAGGAAGAACACCAGUGGCGAAGGCGGCUUUCUGGACUGUAACUGACGCUGAGGCACGAAAGCGUGGGGAGCAAACAGGAUUAGAUACCCCUGUAGUCA
rnacentral:rRNA from 1 species